UACGUAGGGGGCAAGCGUUGUCCGGAUUUAUUGGGCGUAAAGAGCGUGUAGGCGGCCAGACAGGUCAGCUGUGAAAACUCGAGGCUCAACCUCGAGACGUCGGUUGAAACCGUCUGGCUAGAGUCCGGAAGAGGAGAGUGGAAUUCCCGGUGUAGCGGUGAAAUUCGUAGAUAUUGGGAAGAACACCGGUGGCGAAGGCGGCGCUCUGGACAGUUCCUGACACUGAGGCACGAAGGCCAGGGGAGUAAACGGG
rnacentral:rRNA from 1 species